UUCGGGUUGUCAUGCCAAUGGCACUGCCCGGUAGCUAAAUGCGGAAGAGAUAAGUGCUGAAAGCAUCUAAGCACGAAACUUGCCCCGAGAUGAGUUCUCCCUGAGACUUUAGGUCUCCUGAAGGAACGUUGAAGACGACGACGUUGAUAGGCCGGGUGUGUAAGCGCAGCGAUGCGUUGAGCUAACCGGUACUAAUGAACCGUGAGGCUUAACCUU
rnacentral:rRNA from 1 species